CCUACGGGAGGCAGCAGUAGGGAAUUUUCGGCAAUGGGGGGAACCCUGACCGAGCAACGCCGCGUGAGGGAGGAAGUAUUUCGGUAUGUAAACCUCUGUUAUAAAGGAAGAACGGUGCAUGUAGGGAAUGACAUGCAAGUGACGGUACUUUAUGAGGAAGCCACGGCUAACUACGUGCCAGCAGCCGCGGUAAUACGUAGGUGGCAAGCGUUAUCCGGAAUGACUGGGCGUAAAGGGUGCGUAGGUGGUUUAGUAAGUUGGCGGUGUAAUUCCGGGGCUCAACCUCGGCGCUACCGCCAAAACUAUUAGACUAGAGUGCAGGAGGGGUAAGUGGAAUUCCUAGUGUAGCGGUGGAAUGCGUAGAUAUUAGGAGGAACAUCAGGGGCGAAGGCGACUUACUGGACUGUAACUGACACUGAGGCACGAAAGCGUGGGGAGCAAACAGGAUUAGAUACCCCUGUAGUC
rnacentral:rRNA from 1 species